CUCUCUUUUUUCCUCCGUCCCUCUAAAAAAAAUUUCCUGUUGUAGAUCUAUAUGAAGAUGAUAAAAAUGAUUUUAAAGUGUAAGUAACAACAUAUAAGUUUUCUCUGUUCCAUAAUUUUCACUUCUUUUAUUUUUACAUGUUGUAGAUCUAUCAAAACAAAGACGAAUUCGGGUACUAAAACAACAACGACAAUAUGUGUGACAAUAUAAAUUAUGAUUUGAGGAAGACUUGGGCGUCAAUGUUGCAGAUCCAGAAGUAUGAAUAUUCUGGUGACUUUUAUUUUGUCAUAUUUGUAGGCACUUUCAGUUUGCCGUUGUAUGCUAUUGACCUAGGUGUUUGAAGAUUGUUUGCAGAUUCACCUUUUUCCGUUUUUAGCGAUCUUGAAUUUGUAAUGAUCGAUGUAUUUUUCAAUUUGA